rnacentral:lncRNA from 1 species
GUUUGGUUUGCCAUCACUUUUUGUGACUUUUCUGACAUCUGCAAGUGUCGGAAGUGUGACCUGAAACAUUUAAGGACACUUCUGCCUGAACCAUGGGCAGAUGUUUAGACUCCAAGAUACAGAGGAGGAGGGUCUUGGAGGUUUCUUAGUAUAAGUUCCUCCCUGUGGUACUUGCAGUUCCUACAAGGGGCUGUCAGAGAAACAAGCCGGAGAAGAGCAAGACAUGGUCCUGGUGCAUGAAAGGAGCCUAAGAAAGAAGAGUGAAAGCUGCACGUGUGAAGGAAAUGAAUUUUCCUCAUUGUACACAUUCCGAGAAAAAUGAGGCUAAGACUAUUUCAAAGGAUGUUCUACCUAAUUCGAAUGGGCUUUAAGUGCCAUCUUCACAAUAGCGCCAGAGUCUGGUGUCAGCAAACUGAACAAAUAGAGCUACAGGGAGCGAAUGGGGCUGGGUGCCUCUCCAAAACAUAUGCAGAUGAACUUGAGAUUUCAGAGGACGGUUAAUCCUACACAGCAGUCAAGUGCCUUCCCAGGGGGCUCCCUUCCAAACACUGGCUGCCACGUCAAACCAAAGGGGACGAGCAAUCAGACUCACCUCAAACGCCAGUUAAGAAAGCCGGCCUUACUUAAGCAAUCAAGGGCAAGUGAUCAGCCAACUCUGCUUUCUUUCCUUUCUCUUGGAUCAUUUAUAGACCUUGUGGCCGUGGCCACCACAUUGAGAAGCCCUUGGUCUCUACUUGGACUCACUAUAGCAGGU